rnacentral:rRNA from 1 species
GUGAACGCUGGCGGUAGGCCUAACACCUGCAAGUCGAACGGCAGCACAGUAAGAGCUUGCUCUUACUGGUGGCGAGUGGCGGACGGGUGAGGAAUACAUCGGAAUCUACUUUUUCGUGGGGGAUAACGUAGGGAAACUUACGCUAAUACCGCAUACGACCUACGGGUGAAAGCAGGGGAUCUUCGGACCUUGCGCGAUUGAAUGAGCCGAUGUCGGAUUAGCUAGUUGGCGGGGUAAAGGCCCACCAAGGCGACGAUCCGUAGCUGGUCUGAGAGGAUGAUCAGCCACACUGGAACUGAGACACGGUCCAGACUCCUACGGGAGGCAGCAGUGGGGAAUAUCGGACAAUGGGCGCAAGCCUGAUCCAGCCAUACCGCGUGGGUGAAGAAGGCCUUCGGGUUGUAAAGCCCUUUUGUUGGGAAAGAAAAGCAGCAGGUUAAUACCCCGCUGUUCUGACGGUACCCAAAGAAUAAGCACCGGCUAACUUCGUG